rnacentral:rRNA from 1 species
UACCAGCACCCCGAGUGGUCGGGACGUUUAUUGGGCCUAAAGCAUCCGUAGCCGGUUCUACAAGUCUUCCGUUAAAUCCAGCUGCUUAACAGAUGGGCUGCGGAAGAUACUAUGGAGCUAGGAGGCGGGAGAGGCAAGCGGUACUCGAUUGGUAGGGGUAAAAUCCGUUGAUCCAUUGAAGACCACCAGUGGCGAAGGCGGCUUGCCAGAACGCGCUCGACGGUGAGGGAUGAAAGCUGGGGGAGCAAACCGG